GACGUAGGGCGCGAGCGUUGUCCGGAUUUACUGGGCGUAAAGCGCACGUAGGCGGAUCGUUAAGUCGGGGGUGAAAUCCUGGAGCUCAACUCCAGAACUGCCUUCGAUACUGGCGAUCUUGAGUCCGGAAGAGGUAAGUGGAAUUCCGAGUGUAGAGGUGAAAUUCGUUAGAUAUUCGGAAGAACACCAGUGGCGAAGGCGACUUACUGGACACAGUAUUGACGCUGACGGUGCGAAAGCGGUGGGGAGCAAACAGGG
rnacentral:rRNA from 1 species